UACGAAGGGUGCAAGCGUUAAUCGGAAUUACUGGGCGUAAAGCGUGCGUAGGCGGUUUGUUAAGUCUGUUGUGAAAGCCCUGGGCUCAACCUGGGAAUGGCAAUGGAUACUGGCAAGCUAGAGUCAGGUAGAGGGUGGUGGAAUUCCCGGUGUAGCGGUGAAAUGCGUAGAGAGUCGGGAGGAACAUCUGUGGCGAAGGCGGCCACCUGGACCAUGACGUGACGCUGAGGCACGGAAAGCGUGGGGAGCAAACAGG
rnacentral:rRNA from 1 species